CAACUCGUAACUACAAACUCU
rnacentral:siRNA from 1 species